rnacentral:lncRNA from 1 species
GUCCCAGAAGCAGCCAAUUUUAGUUCAGCCUCUUUAAAACUCUGGAUUGUAAACAAACAGUAGGAGUUUCUUUCCACAGUGGAAGGGAGAAUAAUGAGAAGAAGGAUGCAGAAGAGAGGGGAAAGUUGAAAGUAGCUGAUAUGGGACCACAGAAUAUUGGCCAAUCAUUAAUUCCUCUUCUGAAGUCGUGAACCCCUUAAAGUCAUCCGUGAGACUUGGAAUCAACUUCUUCCCAAACUCCUGUUCAUCUUGAUAUUUUGAUUUCCUCUGCUAAACUGCAAAUGUGCUUAAUGACAUCUAUAAUGGUGAAUCAUUUCCAGAAUUUUUUUGACUCACUUUUCCCAGAUUCAUCAUAGGAAUCAAUGUCUCUGGCAGCUAUGGCCUUAUGAAAUGUAUUUUUUAAAUAAUAAUCUUGA